UACGGAGGGUGCAAGCGUUAUCCGGAUUCACUGGGUUUAAAGGGUGCGUAGGUGGUUUUGUAAGUCAGUGGUGAAAGCCCGGAGCUCAACUCCGGAACUGCCAUUGAUACUGCUUAACUUGAAUCAACUUGAGGUGGAUGGAAUAUUACAUGUAGCGGUGAAAUGCUUAGAUAUGUAAUAGAACACCGAUUGCGAAGGCAGUUCACUAAGGUUGUAUUGACACUGAGGCACGAAAGCGUGGGGGAUCAAACAGG
rnacentral:rRNA from 1 species